rnacentral:lncRNA from 1 species
GAGACACAAAUACAUUACAGUUAGGAUGGAUUCACAUCGAUCUAAAAGUACCUGAUCUCCAUUUCGCUUCGUAAUCUUGACCGAAUAUAACUUGUUGACAUGUAAACUAUCAAUUAUUAAAAAAAAUACUUUUAAAAAAAAUCUAUGAUCUUAUCUUCCAUAUGACCUAGUUUCAGAAUGGAGAAUGAUAGGGAAUAUAGCCAUUAUUCAUUUAUCUGAAAAGGACAUAUCACUCUUCUUAUAAUAUUGUUUGUUAAACCUUGAACAGAUUCAAAUAUUCGAUAAGGAUAUAGACUGGCAUGGAAGAACUGGUUCGAAAUAAUUCAUUUUAAUGGUUCUAGAAUAUUUUCAACAAUAUAGUUUUUCUUCACAAAAAUAUUUAUAUUUUAUUAACAUUAAUUUUGAAAUACUAAGUAGUUAUGAUUCCCAUUCAUGUUACCUAAAUUUUAAAAGAUGGAUUACUUAGUUAUUUGCCCUAAACAUAAGUCAUUGUGUAUUGAAGGAUUGAUUAAUCAUUUCAUUUUGAAGAUGUUUCAACAGCCAGCUCAAGAAACUGGAACUUUCUGGAUGCGUUUGGGACAACGUUUCCUGCUUAUUACAGUGUAUUAUCAAACAGUGCUUCUAAAUACUGUCCUUGUGGGCAUAGGACAUAUGCACAUGAUUUUUUAAUCACAUAAUUUUUUUAAAUCAAUUUCUCGACUAAUACAUCUUGAGAUUAUAGACAAACAGUAUAGAUGUGCAAGUUUAAAAAAAAAUCCAUACAAAAAUUUAUUUUAAGUUAUCCAUUUUUUGUUAAGAACUAACAAACUUGGACCAUAUGUAGCUUUAUUUUUCUCAUCAAAAUCAUUAUCCAUAUAUAAUAUAUUAUAAUAAUAUUCCGCCGAAAAAAUUUAAUUAAUUAUGAGUCUAUAUUUAGACAUAUAUAUAAAAUAUAUUAGACAUGAAAUAUACAAUGUCAAUGUUAAAUCUUUAAAUGAAGUAGCAAAACGAGGACCCACGUGAUAAACAGCUAAAAAAUGUGAUUGUGCAUAGUUUUUUUUGUCCGCUAGAGGGACUGAUAAGUUAUUCUUUUGAAAGAUAAUUAGGAGGAGUUAAUAUGAUCGUGGAAUAGAUUUUACUUUUAGAAGAUGCUCAUUGAAGGUCCGGAAUAUGCAAAUUGAAUUGUUGAGUAUAAGGUGAAAGAUAUCAUAUGUUGACUUGGACCUUAAUGAAGAUUAAUUAGAAGUAUUAACUUCCUUUUUGAGGAGUAUCAGUAUGCCUCAAGCAGUUUAGUUUUUCGUGGUAAGAAUGAGCCGCAUUGUGUGAGUAUCAAAAAUAAUUUACUCUUUAGUUUUAGUUAUAUUUUCAUAUUCAUUAACUUUCUCAUUCAUAAUGUAUUUAUUAGUCUUAUUCCUUACUGAAGACGAACUUAGAACUCAAAGAAAUUAUUACUGGAACAGUUUCAUCAAAUUCCUUUAUGGGAAGAUACUCACAUCAUACAUGUAUCAACAUCGGAUAGUACCCUUGGUUGUUAACAUACUCAUUAUCUGGAAAAUGGCCUUACUUUGAGGACACAUAGAUCUAUUGAUAAUCCAUUUAGCAACACUUACAAUAGAUCUAUUCAUGAGUGACUGGAAGUUUCUCAUUUGGACUUCAAGAUUUUUGAUUCUCCAAGUCAUUGGAGUAAAUAUAUCAUCUACUAUAUAUAUGUUCAAUCAUGCCAGGAUUUUGGUUAUGGAAUAUAUUAUUGUAAAAAUACAUUUUUAAAGUGUUUGAAGGUUGCAUGUCCACAAUUAGGAAUUUGGGGAAGGUGGAGUGACGUUUUUGGUAUAUAUGUUACGAUCUUUGGAAACUUAAGCCACCUUGCUUAGGUACUCCAGUCUAAAAAAUUAUUGAGAUGACGUGACACAAAACAUUGAUGGUUCCAUAAAAAACAUUUGGAAUGUUUUCAAAUGCAAAGAAAAGACUACAAAACUCGACUCAGUUGUGCUAAAUAUAAUAUGGAUGAAGUUUUAUUGUUGAGAAUGAACUUUCUGGAGACUAAGUUUAAAUAAAAUUGAAAUAAAAAAGAACAAAUAUGCAGAUGGAGUAAAUUUUCCAUAGACAAACAUUUGAAAUAGUUGUGUUGAAAAUUUAUAUCUAAAAACGUUAGUAAAUAGUUGAUUAACUUUUAUCUCGAUCCUAAAAAUUAUUAUAUGUUCAAAAAUUAAGACCUGUGUUUAACACAUUGAAGUGAAAUUUAAGGCCACAAAACCGAAAUCUCCGAAUUAUUUAUCUUGUUGCACAGGUUUAUCGAAUCAUUAUGGGUUCUUUACAAACAUAGGAAAUCUGAAUGCUCAAUAAUCAUAAACUAUAUUUCAUAUUAAUUUACUUCUUUGAUUAAGCAUGAAGGGAUGAUUAGGAAGAAGUAUUAAUCAAUAAAAUCCAAUAUCAUCAUUCACUUAAAAUGACUAAAAUAAAGGAACUCCAAAGUAAACUUCUACACGUCCCAUCUAUUUUCUUCCUCUCAUCAACUCCGUAUUUUUACUUCAUUCAGUCCUUACUGUUGACAAUUAUGUAUAAUAUAUAUCAUGUAGGAGUGAGAAGAAAAAAUAAAUCUUCCUUCAAUUAAAUAAAUCAAAUAUAAUGAGUAAUCCAACAUUGAGAACAUCAAGGAAAUAAUGAAUGUAGAUACAUCCUCUCAAUAUUCAUACAAUUAUAUUGGUCAAAGGAGAGGGUAAAAGUUGAAGUGAAGGGAUUCAGAAGAUUCAUUUGAAAUAUUGGAAGGCAUUGGGAAAAGAGGGGCGAAAAAAUAUCAAGACUUUGGAAUUAUUAUUUGUAUUACAAAUUGAGUUUUGAAGUAUACAUUAGUCAAAAAACUUAUAACUCUUUAAUAUCGACUACUAACCUAAAAUGAUAUAAAUGGGAUCAAUAAAGAUUUCCCAAUUAGGUGUUUCAUUGAAGAUUAGCGGCACAAAUGUUUCAUCAAAUUCCUUAAUGGGAAGAUACUCAUAUCAUACAUGUAUUAACAUCGGAUAAAAUCGUCUCAUGAAGAACUUGCAUACUAUAUACAAGAUCUACAACCUAUCAAUCUCCAAUGAUAAUAAGUAAAUUGAUAUUUGUCAAUGUUAAUAUAUUUCUUAAGUGGUUUUAGUUUACUACUAAUGCUGUUUUCAUUAAGUUUUUAUUAACUUGGAUUUCUUAUACAUCACUAUUUAGUUCCAAAUGUAUCACGAGCUACUUGUAUAAUAUGCUUAAUAUAUAGUCUGUAAGGGAUCAUUCGAGUGUACUAUUAAUCAAAUACCAAGAAAGAUCCGGUAUUUUUAUAAUUUUAGUGAUUUUGUUAUCGUAGGAUUCCCUUUCUGUUGUUUUUAACAUAUGUAGACAAGAUUCACAAUGAGAACUAUACUUUACAAUUUUAAAAAUGAUAUAAUCUGCCAAAUAAUAUAAUAUAUUAAUAUCAUGAUUUGAUAGUUGUGGUUUCAUUGCUAGUUAGAAGCACAACGUGGAAAAAUAACUAAUAAUUUUGAUCCUAUGUCUGAAAAUAUUUUAUGUCAUGAUGAUUGUCUUUCGUCUUUACCUUAACUGAAGGAAAAACUGGAUUUGAAUUGCGUUUGAAAAGGAAUUUCAGUUAUUUGGUUUGAAAAUGAAGCUCAAUUUUUUUUUAUAAAUAUAAGUUAUGCUGUAAUUAUGCCCUGUUAUAAAUAAUAAUAGUUAAAAUUCAAAAAUAUUUAUUACUAUACAAUAACUAUCAAACACAACCAACAAGAAUUUUCAAAUAUAUUAUAUCUUUUAAAAAUUGUAAUAUCAAAAAAUAGAGAAAAAAAUCAAAACCCAUUAAACUCAUUUCUGAAGUCCAUAAAUUUAAAUAAAUUUACACUAUCAUUUUAAAUCCUAUAAAACUUAUUAAAAACCGUCUAUAUAAUAAUUUUAUUAGAUGUAUAAUAACUGAAUUCAGUUUGAUCAUAUGUGCUAAUUUAAAUUCAAAAUUUGAAUAUCAAAUUUGAAGGUAAUGAAUUACUUUGGCUCAUAUGCUGAAGUCUUUUUACUUUUAGAAGUCAAAAUAUGAAAACAAUAUAAAUUAAAAUGAAAUACUAACAAUUCAAAGUUAUAUUGAUAUUAUACACGGAUUUGCAGAAGACAAGAGUUUUAUAAAAUAGCUAAAGCUGCCCAGUCUGGAUCUAAAUCAUCUACGAUAUUCUUAUAGUAUGCCAUUAGUUUAUUUUCUUUGGUAAAAAAACUCCUAUAUUAUUUGAUUAAGGUUAAUAAUUUUGGUAAGAAUACAAAAGCUGGAGCCCCUCCAGCCCACCCCCUAUGGAAUAUAUAUUUCUAAUUAAAAGGAAAAGUAUGAUGUCUCUUAGACCAUGCUCUUUAUAAAUAGGUAUUACUCACUAUGUAUUUUUAAAAAAUCAGAUAUAAAUUUAUGCAUCCAUAGUCUAAUGUUCAAAAAUUAAAAACUUAUAGUAUCAUUGUCUAUUGACUAAAAUAA